UGUUGAGCAGCCAUCUUAGAGGAGAGAUGGUGGCUGUGAGAGGGAGCAGUGCUUUUACAGAAGAGAGCUGCCAUUCUCAGUUACCAGAGAUAGCCACAGAAAUAGUCAGAGUAGAGAAACAAGCAAGGAUAACAGCUGCUGCUGAAGCAUAGAUGGACAGCCCUUAAAACACUGGAGAGAACACAAAGACCUCUUUUGGAAAUACUGAGUCUGAUGCUUCAGGAAAGGUAGCUACACAGACUUAUGGCCGCCACUAAGGGAUCUUGGAUUAAUGAGAAAAGACUGGCAUGAACUCCCUAGGCUUACCCUUUGGACAGGUACACCCUGACACACAGGGUCCAUCACAAAAAAGCUGUCUUGCUGGAUUGGAGCAGGAAGGAGCACAAGUGUCCUCAGACAUGUACGUCUCUGAAAAGGAUAAAUGUAAGAAUAUGGCUGAAUAAUACAGGCAUAUCUGAAGAUAUCAUCAAGGACAGAAUGCUUAUGGCUUCGGCAUUUUGAGGCAGGGGACAUGGGUCAAUUCGCGUCAUCUGACCCCCAGACCGCGACGACUGUGAUGAGGGUGUGUUGGCAAAUUCGACAAGAUGUGGCACGCUGCACGGGGAAAAGGUUGCCAGUUGUGCCACCCGGUUUUCAGGAGCUUCCGGGAAAUUCCAGGAGAGCAGGCAUGUAUGGUGUCCAGUCUCCAUCAUUUGAAGCUUAUUAAUAUACUUUAUCUGUUCAUGCAUAACAAAUCUGUAUUGCUUUUACAAGGGAAGGUGCAUAUUUAUGAAUGCACCUGCAUUUUUCUGCAGUUGUAAAUGAUCCCAGGAUGUAUUGUAAAUGUUAUACUACUAUGUACACUAUAAAAUAUAUGCUU